rnacentral:snRNA from 1 species
GAGAUGUGAGGGCGAUCUGGGUGCAACAUCUGUCACCCCAUUGACUGCCAGGGUUGAUUUAGCUAAUCUGACUGACUAAGGAGGUGUCCCCUUCCUCUCUCACCACCCACAUGCACAUCCCUCCCAAAGCUGCACACUCAGUCAGAAAGGACCACCUUGCCCAAUAGAGGAGGACUGUUCUUCAAUCAAGGGUCUACAAAUAACUACACUCCCCUGCUAGAACCUUCAAAUAAGCUCUCAAGAAGACACUUACAUUUCUGGACCUACUUUCUUGCACUUCUCCCUUCUCUAGGAUUCUGCUAGCAAGUUCU